UAUAAUAUUUUUAGUAAGGGGGGCUAUAAGAGCUAAGGAGGGGUCAGGAUAAACUGAAUUAGACAUAUUGAGUCUUUUUAGAGGGAAAAUCCUAUUAAAAGAUCUUGACAACUUUAAUUACAAAAUAAAGUAAAAUUUAAAGAUUUGGUGUCAUAUAAGAUCAUAUAUAAAAGGUUGACUCACCUCUGCACACUCAGGAAAAUUCACUGUUUCCUAUAUGGAGAUAUGCUGACUC
rnacentral:lncRNA from 1 species